rnacentral:rRNA from 1 species
UCAAGCGCGAAAAGGGCGUUUGGUGAAUGCCUUGGCAGUAAGAGGCGAUGAAGGACGUGAUACUCUGCGAUAAGUUAUGGGGAGCUGAGAAUAAGCUUUGAUCCAUAAAUUUCCGAAUGGGGCAACCCACCUGAUACUUUGUUAUUAAUACCACUUUAUAUGAGUGCCGUUUAAGGGUUCGCCCUGAGGCAGCGCUUUAUGCGGUGGGGCAUAAUAAUAGGGUAAACCAGGUAUUUAUAACUUGAAUACAUAGGGUUAUAAAAGCAAACCCGGGGAACUGAAACAUCUAAGUACCCGGAGGAAAGGACAUCAAUUAGAUACUCCCCUAGUAGCGGCGAGCGAACGGGGACCAGCCGAGCCAUAAAUGUGACUAGAAUGUGUUGGAAAGCACAACCAAAGUGGGUGACAGUCCCGUAUAGGAAGCAUGAUUGGACGUAUUAAGUAGGGCGGGACACGUGAAAUCCUGUUCGAAGAUCGGAGGACCACCUCCGAAGGCUAAGUACUCCUUACUGACCGAUAGUGAACCAGUACCGUGAGGGAAAGGUGAAAAGCACCCCGACGAGGGGAGUGAAACAGUACCUGAAACCGAACGCCUACAAUCAGUUGGAGGGCCCUUGCGGCCUGACAGCGUACCUUUUGUAUAAUGGGUCAUCGACUUGGUCUAUCUAGCAAGCUUAAGCCGUUAGGUGUAGGCGCAGCGAAAGCGAGUCUUAAUAGGGCGAAUGAGUUAGAUGGAUCAGACCCGAAACCGAGUGAUCUAGGCAUGGCCAGGAUGAAGGUAAGGUAACACUUACUGGAGGUCCGAACCCACACCUGUUGAAAAAGGUCGGGAUGAGUUGUGCCUAGGGGUGAAAGGCCAAUCAAACUCGGAGAUAGCUGGUUCUCCGCGAAAUCUAUUUAGGUAGAGCGUCAUCCGAAUACCCCGGGGGGUAGAGCACUGGAUGGGUAAUGGGGCCCCACAGGCUUACUGAUCCUAACCAAACUCCGAAUACCCGGGAGUACUAGAUGGCAGACACACUGCGGGUGCUAACGCCCGUAGUGAAAAGGGAAACAACCCUGACCGACAGUUAAGGCCCCUAAUUCAUGGCUAAGUGGGAAAGCAGGUGGGACGACCAAAACAACCAGGAAGUUGGCUUAGAAGCAGCCAUCUUUUAAAGAUAGCGUAACAGCUCACUGGUCUAAUCAAGUUGUCCUGCGGCGAAGAUGUAACGGGGCUCAAGCCAUGAGCCGAAACUUCGGAUGCAUUUAAUGCAUGGUAGCGGAGCGUAGUGUGACAUAGGUCCAUGCGUCCUUCGUUUUAUAGCGGACUGCGCAGGCUUUCGAGCCUGAGUGGCGGCGCGUAAAAUACUGGACGCAAGGAUCUUUCUGUGAAGCCGGCCUGUGAGGGAUCCGGUGGAGAGAUCACUAGUGAGAAUGAUGACAUGAGUAACGACAAAGGGGGUGAGAGACCCCCUCGCCGAAAAUCCAAGGGUUCCUGCUUAAAGCUAAUCUGAGCAGGGUAAGCCGGCCCCUAAGCCGAGGGCGAAAGCCGUAGGCGAUGGGAACCAGGUUAAUAUUCCUGGGCCAGGAGGAAGUGACGGAUCACGAAGAUUGUUGGAUCAGGCGUAGUUGCCCCAGCAGUUCAGUGGUUCCUGGAAAUAGCCCUCCAUCAGACCGUACCCUAAACCGACACAGGUGGAUAGGUAGAGUAUACCAAGGCGCUUGAGAGAACUAUGUUGAAGGAACUCGGCAAAAUACCUCCGUAAGUUCGCGAGAAGGAGGCCCGGUUUCUAGGCAACUGGAAGCUGGGGGCACAAACCAGGGGGUGGCGACUGUUUACUAAAAACACAGGGCUCUGCGAAGUCGCAAGACGACGUAUAGGGUCUGACGCCUGCCCGGUGCCUGAAGGUUAAAAGGAGGAGUGCAAGCUCCGAAUUGAAGCCCAGGUAAACGGCGGCCGUAACUAUAACGGUCCUAAGGUAGCGAAAUUCCUUGUCGGGUAAGUUCCGACCUGCACGAAUG